rnacentral:rRNA from 1 species
GAUGAACGCUGGCGGCGUGCCUAAUACAUGCAAGUCGAGCGAACAGACGAGGAGCUUGCUCCUCUGACGUUAGCGGCGGACGGGUGAGUAACACGUGGAUAACCUACCUAUAAGACUGGGAUAACUUCGGGAAACCGGAGCUAAUACCGGAUAAUAUAUUGAACCGCAUGGUUGAAUAGUGAAAGACGGUUUUGCUGUCACUUAUAGAUGGAUCCGCGCCGCAUUAGCUAGUUGGUACGGUAACGGCUUACCAAGGCAACGAUGCGUAGCCGACCUGAGAGGGUGAACCGCCACUCUGGAACUGAGACACGGCCCAGACUCCUACGGGAGGCAGCAGUAGGGAAUCUUCCGCAAUGGGCGAAAGCCUGACGGAGCAACGCCGCGUUAGUGAUGAAGGUCUUCGGAUCGUAAAACUCUGUUAUUAUGGAAGAACAAAUGUGUAAGUAACUAUGCACGUCUUGACGGUACCUAAUCAGAAAGCCACGGCUAACUACGUG